GACGAACGCUGGCGGCGUGCUUAACACAUGCAAGUCGAGCGAUGAAAGCCUUAUGAACUAUUCGUAGUGAUUGGGGCCGGAUUAGCGGCGGACGGGUGAGUAACGCGUGAGCAACCUGCCUUAAACAACGGGAUAGCCUCGGGAAACCGGGAUUAAUACCGUAUGAGACCCCGCCUUCACAUGAAGAAGAGGUUAAAGAUUUAUCGGUUUAAGAUGGGCUCGCGUCUGAUUAGCUAGUUGGUGAGAUAAAAGCCCACCAAGGCAACGAUCAGUAACCGGCUUGAGAGAAUGAACGGUCACAUUGGAACGGAGACACGGUCCAAACUCCUACGGGAGGCAGCAGUGGGGAAUAUUGCACAAUGGGGGAAACCCUGAUGCAGAGACGCCGCGUGAGCGAUGAAGGAAUUCGUUUCGUAAAGCUCUGUCCAGGGGAAGAUAAUGACAGUACCCUUGGAGGAAGCCCCGGCUAAAUACGUGCCAGCCGCCGCGGUAA
rnacentral:rRNA from 1 species